rnacentral:rRNA from 1 species
UCGAGAAUAUUCGACAAUGGGCGAAAGCCUGAUCGAGCGACGCCGCGUGCAGGAAGAAGGCCUUCGGGUUGUAAACUGCUUUUGCGUGGGAAGAAUUUUGACGGUACCACGAGAAUAAGGGGUUGCUAACUCUGUGCCAGCAGCAGCGGUAAUACAGAGACCCCGAGCGUUAUCCGGAAUUACUGGGCGUAAAGGACAAGUAGUCGGUUAUGAUAGUCUGAUGUUAAAUCUCAUCGCUCAACGGUGAGGCCGCAUUAGAAACGUCAUUACUAGAGCGAGUCAGGGGCAAGCGGAACGUGUGGUGUAGCGGUGAAAUGCAUUGAUAUCACACGGAACACCAAAAGCGAAGGCAGCUUGCUGGGGCUUUGCUGACGAUCAAUUGUGAAAGCGUGGGGAUCAAAAAGG